rfam:Capsicum annuum cultivar Zunla-1 chromosome 5, whole genome shotgun sequence
UGAUGAUGGUGAGGGCAAUUUCUGAGCAUACUUUUAAAUCUCUCCCAAGUUUGGUAGAGAUUUUAUCCUUCUUUUUAUCUGAAGCUCAGAAUCCCAUUUCUCAAACG